UGGGGAAUCUUCCGCAAUGGACGAAAGUCUGACGGAGCGACGCCGCGUGAGUGAUGAAGGCCCUUGGGUCGUAAAGCUCUGUCAUUGGGGACGAACGACCGCUUCAGGAAAUGGGAGCGGAGUGACGGUACCCAAGAAGGAAGCCACGGCUAACUACGUGCCAGCAGCCGCGGUAAUACGUAGGUGGCAAGCGUUGUCCGGAAUUAUUGGGCGUAAAGCGCGCGCAGGUGGGAUCUUAAGUCUGUUCUGAAAGUUCGGAGCUUAACUCCGUGAUGGGAUGGAAACUGGGAUUCUUGAGUACCGGAGAGGAAAGCGGAAUUCCCCGUGUAGCGGUGAAAUGCGUAGAUAUGGGGAGGAACACCAGUGGCGAAGGCGGCUUUCUGGACGGUGUCUGACACUGAGGCGCGAAAGCCAGGGGAGCGAACGGG
rnacentral:rRNA from 1 species